rnacentral:rRNA from 1 species
UACGUAGGGUGCAAGCGUUAAUCGGAAUUACUGGGCGUAAAGGGCGCGUAGGCGGUCAGCACAAGUCAGUUGUGAAAUCUCCGGGCUUAACUCGGAAAGGUCAACUGAUACUGUGCGACUAGAGUGCAGAAGGGGCAACUGGAAUUCUCGGUGUAGCGGUGAAAUGCGUAGAUAUCGAGAGGAACACCUGCGGCGAAGGCGGGUUGCUGGGCUGACACUGACGCUGAUGCGCGAAAGCCAGGGGAGCGAACGGG